UACGAAGGUCCCAAGCGUUAUCCGGAUUUAUUGGGUUUAAAGGGUGCGUAGGCGGAUUAUUAAGUCAGUGGUGAAAGCUCCCAGCUUAACUGGGAAACUGCCAUUGAUACUGAUGAUCUUGAGUAUGAUUGAAGUGGGCGGAAUGUGUCAUGUAGCGGUGAAAUGCUUAGAUAUGACACAGAACACCGAUUGCGAAGGCAGCUCACUAAGCCAUAACUGACGCUGAUGCACGAAAGCGUGGGGAGCAAACAGG
rnacentral:rRNA from 1 species